rnacentral:rRNA from 1 species
GACGAACGCUGGCGGCGUGCCUAAUACAUGCAAGUCGAACGCUCAAGGAGGAGCCUGCUCUUCCUGAUGAGUUGCGAACGGGUGAGUAACACGUAUGUAACCUGCCCCUUAGCGGGUGAUAACUCUUGGAAACGCUAGCUAAUACCGCAUAACAGUAUAUGUUGCACGACAUUUACUUAUAAAGUGCAGUUUCAUCACUACCAGUUGGACCUCCGUUGUAUUAUUUAGUUGGUGGGGUAACGGCUCAACAAGGCGACGAUGCAUAGCCGACCUGCGAGGGUGGUCGGCCCAACUGGGACUGAGGAAAGGCCCCAGAUCCUAGGGGAGGGAGGAGUUGGGAAACUUUGGCAAUGGAGGGAAAUCUGAACGAGGCACGCCGGGUGGAGGGAGGAGGGUUUUGGGUCGUAAAGCUCCGUUGUAUGGGAAGAACGAGAGGGAGAAUGAAAAGUUCACAUUGUGACGGUACCUAACCAGAAAGCGACGGCUAACUACGUG